ensembl:lncRNA
CAGAGGUAUGGGAGCCAUUUUUGAAAGGGCCUGAAAAGUAUCUUUUGCAUAAUGUUCAGUAUAACAAAUCAAUAUGUUACCUUGUUGUCUUCAGGAGAACUGUGGUUUGACCCACAGAAAUGAUCAUUUCUUAAAGUACUAAAUAUUUAGAGGCUUAUAACAAACUAUGGUGGGGCAGUGAGAACUAUCCCCAUACCUGUCUUGAAGAGAACUCCAUUAUCAAGUAAAGGGCCAGCUAACCAGAUGAGACCUCCGUGAAGCCAUAUGUGUGUUCAGCCCUUUCCCCACAGCCUUGAAAAAGCCCAGCCACCUGCAAAGCAUUACUCUGACAACAGUUUCAAGCAUCUCCCUUCAGCUCUCAGAUGACAUCAGUGGGUCUCAGUUGGAAUCCAGCCUACCAGAGUCUACUGGGACUGUUAACACUGCAGCAGGAGUGCCCAUGAUUCAGAGAUGCACCUACAGGCAUGCUUAUUGCACAGGGCUGCGACCAUCUCUCCUGUCUCCUGAAUGUAAGGAAGGAAACUCAUGUGGAGAUUAUUUCAACAAAAUCGUUUCGGAUCAUGCCAUCAAAUUUGCUGUCUUGCUGGAGAUAGAAGACUGCUGCAAUAGCAUAAGGCUGGGAAGCCUGCUGAUGGACUCGGGCUUUUCUUUUCUGACUGAUGCACAGGAAGAACUUCUUUUCUGUGUUUUACUCUGUUCUGUCUUGUUUUCAAGCAAUUGUAAAAACUUUGCAGCUUCAAACCUUUUAGAGGGAUUUUUUUUGUAUGUAAUUUCUGCUUCACUGAAGGGAAGAAGUGGGUAGGACAAAAAGAAAACUCUUUCCAACAAAGAGAGAGCUUUUUUAACAAAGCCAUUUUCACAAGCCUGUGAGCUGGCAAGUCUUCUUUUUCUUACCUUGAAACAUGCAUGCUAUUUAUUUAACACAGCAGAAAAGCAAUCAACCACUCCUAUAAGUUCCUGUAAAUAAAUAAACAGCUUCACAAAUCUAAUCUCAAAAAGUUGAAUUCCUAUAGCUUCAUCCUACUUCAGUUGUGCUCCAUUGCUAACCUUUACAGAGCAAAGCAAACAAUUGGUCUCCACUGACCACAGCUCAUUAGCUUCCAGUAAGGUCUAGUAUGGCUGUGAUUUAUGUUCAGGACUUCUAGGUCACAGUGCUUCGUGUUCAUCCACCUAUGGAUUUAUUCUUGGCUCCUGAGGGCAUGUCCUAACAACCCCUGCUUUAGAGAUGCUUUCUCAGCUAUCUGUUGUUGCUUGCUCAAUUUUCUUCUCAACUGAUGUGUAGCUUCACUUGUUCUAAAGAUGAAAAAAAAAAUCACUGUGUUAUCUCCAACUCCAUAUACUCUAUUUUUUUCACAUAUGUAAAUAAAGGCAAAGUGGCUACCCUAACAGAAAAGUAACAUACACUACCUUAGAUACAGGCUUCAUUUUUGUGUUUGCUGAUGGAUACCGAACUCGCAAUUUUUCUCUUUUUUUCCCAGCAAGUGAGAGAUGCCCUCAUCCUUGUGCCUUAUUUUAUUAUUUUUUGAUUGAGAAAUAAGUAUUCCAGCCCUUGCUUUUGUCCAAACAUCUGUUUUGACUGUGUUUAUCCCCCAAGUGCAGGAACUGCAAAGCCCAGAGAACCCUGCAACCAUUUAAAAAAACUGAC